UUGAGAACUGCAUUCUAUCAUCAUGAUUAAAAAUACAUUGAUCAAUCCAAAAGAGAGACAAUAAUACUGCAACAUGUACAGUAAAUCUAGAGCACCUGACAUGUUGGCAUUAGCAUUUUUAAUAAAAGGGGGCAAUAUUAUGAGCUUACCUUCGGGAGCCAUUUGAUCUUCUCAGGACAGCCUCUUGAACUGCAAACAUAGAUGAGCAGAAAUUUUAGUUAGAUUAGACGAGAAGCAAUAUGAGAAUAGAAAGUGAGGAUUAGAACACCAAGCUAUGUGUGUUUGCAGACGAAACUACUCUAAAUUCAGAGCCAAAGCACCUCGAGCCCAGCUGCCAAGGGUAAAUCUAAAACCAAAAAAUAACAUUUCCCGAGCACAAUAUUUCAGCAAGCCAUGGGAUGAAUACACAUGUAACAACUACAAACUAAAACACUAACUCGAUUCGUCAUGAACUCGAAACAGGGAGAAGCCACAGGCCAAAACAAGCAUCUAAUUUCAUUCCGGAAUCUACCAACCAUGAUUAUCUCGCGCAAAGCACAAACAUCUCCUACACAUCUGGAAUACCAAUGGAUCGACGUCCCAUCCAUCCCACGGAGGUAUAUUCCCAAAUAUAAAUUAACACUCAGUAGACCAAUCAAAGACAACACAUUACAAUGACACAACUGAUGCAUUAACAAUGUAAGCCAACAAAGGUAUAUUUAUAGAAGGACACACAGGGAACUAAAAUAAAGACAGCGCAAGGGUACUCCCCAAUAGGCAAUUUAUUAUAGCAUCCUAUAACACAAAAUAUCAUGUAAAACAAUGUCAGUUCUUACUGUUACAAAAUGGAUAGCAUGAAGUAGCUACGAUUAUACUAUCGAAGAGUGCAUCAAUAAGAGUCAUGGAAAUUCUUAACUGCACUUCUAAACGAGGCUAUAAUAGAAUAACCUAGAUAGCAGACCUAAAUAAUCAUUACACUGAGAUGCAGUAUAAUUUACCACCCAAGACUGUAUAUAAACUAUUCAACAAUAAUAUUAGAACACAACGGACAACAUAUCUCAAGAAGUAAUAACGCUGAACAGAAUUCCAACAAGAUCUAUUAUUGACACGAUUCAACAGAUGAAACAUAACAUCUCAUAUAGAUCCACAAUUAAAAUAGAGUCUUCCACAACACGCAUCGACGGCAUCUUCUGCUCAGCCCUGAAAAACACCUGAUUCCAGUUAAGUUCAGUUUAAGGUCCUGAACUGGAACAUUGGACAAACACACAUGCAGAGAGAGAGAGAGAGAGGGUAUUCACGACAAUACAACAAUAAAUUUCAGUUUAAGUUCAGUUCAGUUAAGUUCAGUUUAAAUUCAGUUCAGAUGUAUUCACGACACUACAACAAUAAAUUUGGUUUAGAUGAGUGAAUUAAUAAAGUGCUAAAUUUCUCUUAUAACCUAGUGUAUUUUCAAGAAGAGAAAUACAAUAUUGAAUCAUGCGCUAAGUUAACCUAGAGAAGUAAAACAUAAUAUUUCAGACAUGAGAUCGCACAGACAUACCAAAAAUGACAAACAGAAACGGUGGAUAUAGGUAAAUAGCAAUGCCAUCUUCAUUUCUUUCUCACAUCAAGACGUGUCUAAUACGGAUCUUCCUAAGGUAGAGCAAGCCUAAAGUAGACCACAACAUAUAUAAGAAGCUUUUGGUGACCUGGAGUGGACUGUGGGACCAUAUUAGUACUGUAAUCCGUCAUGGAUGGCCAAGAUUUGCAUAUGGACGUACAUAAUACAUCUAAUUACAGAUCUACUCCGUAGAAGGGUACAGCAAACCCUAGGAUUAUCUCGUACGGAAAAAAUAUGGACACCCUAGCUGAACGAUCUAGCUCGAUCGGACCUACGUAGAACACAAAGAAAAAAAAGUAACGAUGUAAAUCUAGGUCUGGUCACCAGAAGCUCACACUUGAGAUGCACACGCAGUAGAUCCAAUCGGCAACCAGGUCUCAUUCAGAUCCGGAAGAAGCAAAGUAUACCUCACGCAGUUGACGCGCUUGCCACGUGAGAUCCGGCGCCUUCCCCCUCCCCCUGCGAGCACGGGACUCCUCACGCCGCUGCACGCACGCACCAUCGUGGGUGGCGGCGGUGUGGGCGGCGGCGAGGGAUAGGAGUUCGUGCGGAGGGACGAGAUGAGGGUUGGGUGUAUUCGAGUGAGAGAGAGCUCGUGGGCCGCUAGAGGAUGCACACGCCGGAUCUCACCGGACAGGAGCGAGUGGAGCUGACUUUUGGGAACCGAUGUCGGAGCGCCGGCCCUUGCACUCCAAUGGAACUUCAAAGUACCCACAUCUCAAACGAGGAAGAGGGAGAGUAAAACUACGCUCACAU
rnacentral:lncRNA from 1 species